GGCUCGGUAGCUCAGUCGGUAGAGCAAUGGAUUGAAGCUCCAUGUGUCGGCGGUUCGA
rnacentral:tRNA from 1 species